UCCAGCCAGGUCGUGGUUGUGGGACGCCCGUUUGUGUGGGACUGUACAGCUGAGGACACAGAGAACACCGGAGCUGCUGUGGACAUCAGGUGGAAACUGGGAGAUGUUUUCCUGGACGACAACCAUCCCAGAAUCCAUCGCCAUGCCAACGGCUCGCUGCUGUUCUCCCCCGUCCAAUCAGAAGACAUCGCUAACUACACCUGUGUGGUGUCACUCCGCGGCAGGAGUGGGUCGGCUGUACAGAGCAGCCCGGCGUUUCUCAGGAUAGCCUACAUUGACCCCAUAGAGCGCCCCCCGGUGUCCCAGAAUGUAAGUGCAGGAGUGACGGUGUACCUGACCUGUAUCUCCGGCCCCAGCCUGCCACUGGCUACCCUGUACUGGGAGAAGGAUGGGGUCAACUUCACGGGCGGGCAGGUGUACGAGACACAGGGCUUCGGUGGAAACAGAA